CAUCGAUGGGCCGCCUCCUGCACGCCCCACACGGGAUCGAGUGCCCUUGACGGGAAUCGAACCCAAGACCCUCCAGUCCGCUGGCCCACGCUCCAUCCACUGAGCCAAACCAGCUGGGGCUCAACUUGGGUUUUAAGUGAGACGAUGGGGAUUGCUGAGGCUGCGGCUGGGACUCGAAACAGGAAAAUUCCUGGCAACGCUGCAAAUAAGAGUCCAGGCAGCAAGCUGGAUCCCUGUUACUCACCCUAGAGGACCCGCCCCGCCCCCCCCUCCCCACACACAUACCACCCCGUUUGUGUCCCACCAGAGUUGCCAGAUUAUGUAACCAGACAAUCAAGGGGACUGGGCUGCCUGUCACUACUUGAGCCAAUUGAGCAGGGACAGGGGUGAAUCACAUAAGAACACCUAUUCCAGUCCUGCCGGCAGCAUGGAGAGCAGCAGGGCAUCCACAAACGGCUGCUCUGCCCCCACCAUAGCCCGCUGCUUAUACUGGGUAGAAGGGCAGAGAUUACAGGGGAAGUAGCCAAAGGGGCAGUUGAUAGGUAAUGGGGGCUGGAGAUUUGCGAAGGGCUGGGAGUCUUGAAAGGGCUCGUGAUUCUGGUUCCUGCAAGAAGGUUGCUAAUCCUUCCAGGAUAAUAGGCCGCUCCCUGAGGGGGAGGAUGGGCUGCAUCUCCAGGUGAGCGCCCAGGUCCCACGUGCAACUCCCAGCAGGUGCGACUGUCUCCCACCCACUCGCCUGGCGGGGCACCCGAUGAAGCCCCGAGCCCGGCCUGACCCUGUCCGACUGGCAUCCGGCAUCCGGGCACCAGACGUGCAUGGAGCAUCUCCGGUGCUGGAUUGGGCGGCGGGCAGGAUGGACAGCGCAGCGCCGCCCUCCCAGGGCCGUGUUCCAGAAAGGGGCAAGCCCGACAAAGCCUGCGAAGCA